CGCGUAUUUUUUAACUGAUAUUUCAAUAAGUUAUUUAUAAUUGAUCAAAACAAAAGUUAGAUACACGAAGAGUACAAAAUGCCAAAAUUCUUUUCUUAUUAACUACAUAUUUGGGUCUUAAGGAAUAAAUUUUUUCAACACAUUACAAAACGGUAGCCAUUUUGUCCAAACGUCGAAAAACGUCGAAAAAUCCGAAAAACGCUAAUUUCCGACGUUACAUGUCCUAAAGUUUCAAUUAAAUGUUCAUGAUAAUUAAAACAAAUCGUUUGGUGAAAUUUGGAAAAAGAUGUUGAUGGCUGCCGAAAAAAACAAGAAUAGUGCAUGUUGCUACAUGUAUAGACUCCGACCGGGACAUAGAUUCGACACAGGUUAAAUUUUGCAAUUUUUAUUGAUCGUUUAUAGCUUUUAUCGAUUUAUUUAAAAGAAUCAUGAAAAGGGAAAUUAAAUCGCAUUACAUGAACUUCGUUCAACUUUUGCAAAGACAAAUUGGAAACACCAAGACAAUCCUCUAAAUGUAAAAUGCGAAUUUUAAUUUAUGUUGCGGAAGGACUUCGAAAUAGAUCUUUUAAAGUAGUCUCUUCAGUAAGGUGCAUUCACCAAUUAUAUUAAAAGACUUAAUACAAGUCCACGGAAUGUUUUACCUUGCAAUUUGUCCUGCUAUUCAUGUUAUAACUGAAAGUUAUUCCUGUACUACAUGUACUAGCGAAGCCGGAACUUUUCGUCAAUAUUAACUUGUGCAUGAAAUUGAGGUAAUUGAAAGACAAAUCCAAAACAGCGAC
rnacentral:lncRNA from 1 species